rnacentral:rRNA from 1 species
ACGCUCGACACCUACGGGAGGCGGCAGUGGGGAAUAUUGGGCAAUGGGCGAAAGCCUGACCCAGCAACGCCGCGUGAGGGAAGAAGGUUUUCGGAUUGUAAACCUCUGUCCUCAGGGACGAAGGACGUGACGGUACCUGAGGAGGAAGCCCCGGCUAACUACGUGCCUGCAGCCGCGGUAAUCUGAGCGGGCUGGCAAGGC